ACAACCAAGGCCGGUUCAUGGAGGGACCUAUGUAGCCUCAACGCCUGGGUGGUGGGAGACUACUACCGCCUCGUCUCCGCUGUCAACGCACUCGAGCCGCCUCUUCGGAGGCUUUCCGACGAACAGGGGAAGACGGAGGAGUUCCGCGCGCGCCUGGGCCGCGGGGAGACGCUCGCCGGCGUUCAGGCAGAGGCGUUUUCUGUGGUGAGGGAGGUGGCAAAGAGGACGCUCGGCAUGCGACACUUUGAUGUUCAGCGAGAUGCUGAAUGGAUGGGCCGCGUUCAUCGUUUUCUUGGCCUAACUGCGGGUAUGAAGUCU
rnacentral:rRNA from 1 species